ensembl:lncRNA
CUCCCAGUGAUUUCUGAGACUUCCCCACGGUGUGUUCUGAACAACUGGGGAUUUUUUUCCUCUCCUUCAGCUCCCUCUGUAAGCUGCCACAUAGUUGCCUUUGCAAACUGCUGUGUUAACUGCACCCCUGAGAGAGGAAACCUUGCUCUCCCAUCUGGUAUUUUAUCACUUUUUCUCCCUGUUGGUUGACAAAGACCAGGCUGGAUCUUUUAAUGCUGCUGCUGCUGCUAAGUCACUUCAGUCGUGUCUGACUCUGUGUGACCCCAUAUAUUGGCAGCCCACCAGGCUCCCCCGACCCUGGGAUUCUCCAGCUGAGGACAUUGAAGCCCAGGGAGAAGAAACAUAUUUUGACCAAGCUUGGCAACCCACUCCAGUACCUUGCCUGGAAAGUCCCAUGGACAGAGGAGCCUGACUCCUGAGAGAAAGUAAAGACUCAUAGAAUGAAGCUCAUACAUUUAUACAGACUUGUUUCAUUUGAAUUUCAAAGAGAGCUUAUUGGUAAUAUCCUAACAAUGUGUAAUAUCCUUAACAACGUGAAGAGGAUUUGGCCUUGUCUUAAGGUACAGUGAGGAAGUGGCGAGGCGAGCAGAGAGCAGGGAGAUUGCACUGUAGACCUCCUGUCUUACAGUAUGGAUAGAUUUAGGUGUCAACAAUCAAGUAAGAACAAGGAUACUUCCUUUCAUUGGUAAAGAAUCUGCCAGCAAUGCAGGAGACCCGGGUUCGAUUCCUGGGUUGGGAAAAUCCCCUGGAGAAGGAAAUGACAAGCCACUCCAGUAUGCUUGCCUGGAGAAUCCCAUGGAAAGAGGACUCUGGCUGGCUGCAG